GGACUUUCUUUUAUCUUUUCCAGAUUACAUUCACAAUGUAGAGUUUGUCAUAGAGGAUUUACCUCCAGCACUUUCUAUGAGGCAAAAGGAACCUUAUGGAAGACGUGCAAUUCGAAAGCUAGCUGUUUGUUCCUUACGAAUGAGACUGUCUCACACCAUGCUCGAGUUGCCUGGAAACGGCUACUUCAAAUUCAUUCAAGCUGUGGAACAAUACUUCCACCAAUAAGUAGGGUUACAUGUGUGAUGAGCCUUGCUUUGUCUCGCUCACAUCUGGUAUCUCCUGGCAUUUUGGCCUUCCUUAUUGGACAGCUAGCAUGGAAUCAAAGUGUGCUUGCAGAAGCAGAAGGUUUCACAUCCCCAGAAUCGCUCUACAUGCAUGCAAAGGAUGGACAUAUCUACUUGACUUCAUUUAUCUUCUUGCUUUUAGAGGGCUUGAUAUUGCUCUCGAGGGCAGUAUACUUAGCUUUGUUGUUCACCCCUUGUAUGCUAAUGGCUCCUUUUGCUGACUCCUUUGGUAUUGAGUUUAGGAAGACGUGGCUUCGUGCUGUGAGAAGAACUCUAGAGAAGGCAGGUCCAGCAUUCAUUAAGUGGGGUCAAUGGGCAGCAGCAAGGCCAGAUCUGUUUCCAGAUGAUAUGUGUAAUGAACUUGCUGAACUCCACUCAAAGGCACCAGCACAUAGCUAUGCAUACACAAAAAGAAGCAUUGAGAAGGCGUUUGGACGGAAGCUGCCUGAAAUAUUC
rnacentral:misc_RNA from 1 species